rnacentral:rRNA from 1 species
GAAGCCUGACGGAGCAAUACCGCGUGAGGGAGGAAGGCUCUUGGGUUGUAAACCUCUUUUCUCAGGGAAGAAAAAAAUGACGGUACCUGAGGAAUAAGCAUCGGCUAACUCCGUGCCAGCAGCCGCGGUAAUACGGAGGAUGCAAGCGUUAUCCGGAAUGAUUGGGCGUAAAGGGUCUGCAGGUGGCUAUGUAAGUCUGCUGUUAAAGAAUGAGGCCUAACCUCAUCAGAGCGGUGGAAACUACACAGCUAGAGUGCGUUCGGGGUAGAGGGAAUUCCUGGUGUAGCGGUGAAAUGCGUAGAUAUCGGGAAGAACACCAGUGGCGAAAGCGCUCUACUAGUCCGCAACUGACACUGAGGGACGAAAGCUAGGGGAGCGAAUGGGAUUAGAUACCCCAGUAGUCCUAGCCGUAAACGAUGGAUACUAGGCGUGGCUUGUAUCGACCCGAGCCGUGCCGGAGCUAACGCGUUAAGUAUCCCGCCUGGGGAGUACGCACGCAAGUGUGAAACUCAAAGGAAUUGACGGGGGCCCGCACAAGCGGUGGAGUAUGUGGUUUAAUUCGAUGCAACGCGAAGAACCUUACCAAGACUUGACAUGUCGCGAAUCCUGCCGAAAGGUGGGAGUGCCUUCGGGAGCGCGAACACAGGUGGUGCAUGGCUGACGUCAGCUCGUGUCGUGAGAUGUUGGGUUAAGUCCCGCAACGAGCGCAACCCUCGUUUUUAGUUGCCAGCAUGAAGAUGGGCACUCUAGAGAGACUGCCGGUGACAAACCGGAGGAAGGUGGGGGAUGACGUCAAGUCAGCAUGCCCCUUACGUCUUGGGCUACACACGUACUACAAUGCUACGGACAAAGGGCAGCGACGCAGCGAUGUGAAGCAAAUCUCAUAAACCGUAGCUCAGUUCAGAUCGCAGGCUGCAACUCGCCUGCGUGAAGUAGGAAUCGCUAGUAAUUGCAGGUCAGCAUACUGCAGUGAAUCGU